AUUCCAUGGUGAGGGCAAUUUUUAAUCAUCAUAUUGAAGCGCUCGAACGCCUCAUGAAACAUCUCACCAUGUUGUUGUUGAAAGCUUCUGAACCCCUUCUGUGACAUU
rfam:Helianthus annuus linkage group 4, whole genome shotgun sequence.